CUCCUAGGUGUAGCCCUUAUAGCGCAUACCUCCCCAUUCUCACUAUGUGUGCAACUAAACCCCCCAACUCAAGAAAAAGGGUGCAAAUACCCCCCUCGCCCUAACCUCCGUUUUCUCACCGUUAGUCAGCAUUAUUUUUUUUAUUUUUUAUUUUCUCAACCCUCUUCUUCAAGCCUGCUGCCGCCUUCGAAUUGGGAGAAUUCCCGCCGUGAGGUCGACGAGCGGCCGGCGGCGGUCAUUUGUGGUGGGUAUGGCUCCCGAUGAAGAGAAGAUGACCCGCCGUUCGGCUCUCGAUUUCCCCAUCGUCAUAUACGAAGCAACAUGAGAUUUUUGGAGGAAUUGUGCAAAUACUUUAUCUUUAUGAACAUUAUUUUUGGAAAUUACAAAGAAAUGGAGGGAUGUUGACUACCAUCUCGCCCCUUAGUUGAGCUAGUUUCAGCUGACUCUCAAAUCUGCCAUCAUUUUCUAUGUCGAACUAUUUAGAUAGCAGUUGUAGAAUGAAUUUAGGUGCAGGAGAAACUAACGCAAUUUUGUGGUGAUGUUAUCUAAGAAAGGAGAAUUGGGAUUUGUUUCCUGUUUGAGUUGAGCUCUUUGUAAGCAUCAAGAAUUAGGGAUUGUGGAUGGUUCCAAAUCCUUUUUGCUGUAUGAAUUUCGUGUAAUUCUUAAAACUUACACAUUUAUCUUCGAAUA